rnacentral:rRNA from 1 species
AGAACGAACGCUGGCGGCAUGCCUAAUACAUGCAAGUCGAACGAACACUUCGGUGUUAGUGGCGCACGGGUGCGUAACGCGUGGGAAUCUGCCCUUGGGUUCGGAAUAACAGUUGGAAACGACUGCUAAUACCGGAUGAUAUCGAAAGAUCAAAGAUUUAUCGCCCAGGGAUGAGCCCGCGUAGGAUUAGCUAGUUGGUGAGGUAAAGGCUCACCAAGGCGACGAUCCUUAGCUGGUCUGAGAGGAUGAUCAGCCACACUGGGACUGAGACACGGCCCAGACUCCACGGGAGCAGCAGUAGGAAUAUGGACAAUGGGACAAAGCCUGAUCCAGCAAUGCCGCGUGAGUGAUGAAGGCCUUAGGGUUGUAAAGCUCUUUACCGAGAUGAUAAUGACAGUAUCGGAGAAUAAGCCCGACUAACUCGUGCCAGCAGCCGAC